AUCAACUGCAGCAAUGCGAUUUGACUUUUGUCUUUGUUGACCAAGUUCAAAGGGAGCUAGUGGAUGGUCAGUUUGGACUAGCCCGAGUGCUAAGCAUUCUUGGGUCUAGCGCUGGAUUGCCUAUUUAUCUAUCUUUU
rnacentral:misc_RNA from 1 species